rnacentral:rRNA from 1 species
CCCUUAGAUGUCCUGGGCCGCACGCGUGCUACACUGACGCCUACAGCGAGUACUUCCCAGCCCCGAGAGGUGGCUGGUAAUCAGCAAUAGGCGUCGUGAUGGGGAUAGAUCUUUGGAAUUAUGGAUCUUGAACGAGGAAUGCCUAGUAAGCGCAGGUCAUUAGCCUGCGCUGAUUAAGUCCCUGCCCUUUGUACACACCGCCCGUCGCUCCUACCGAUUUCGAGUGGUCCGGUGAAUCUUUCGGACUGCAGCACUGCUUGGUCUCCAGGCUUUGCAGCGGAAAGUUUAGUGAACCUUAUCACUUAGAGGAAGGAGAAGUCGUANCA